UUCAGUAAGUAACUUAAUGACUGGAUGUAAGUUGGUGAUCGGGUGAGGAGGUGAGAUAACAAGAUGUAGAGCUGGAUGAACACAGCAGGCCAAGCAGCAUCAGAGGAGCAGGAAAGCUGACGUUUCAGGCCGAGACCCUUCUUCAGAUAUGGUUUUGAUCUGAUCAUCCCUUAAACUUCUAAAUUCUGGAGAAAACGGACUGAAUUUCUAUAACCUGACAAAUGUGGGGUCAUUGCAUGAGAAAUCAGGAACUCCCAUGAGUUGUCGAGCAGUUCCAUGGAGGUGAGGAAUGAUGACUACACUGCUUCCAAGAUUGGAAUGUCACACUCUGCCAAAAUGCUCCAUUUAGCAGCUCCAUCUUGAACUGAUAUAGUUCACUCUCAGAAGUGUCAGUGAGACUGCCUGCCAGACCUCAAUCCGAGACCAUCUGUUUACAAAUAUCAGGGUUUCCAGGUUACCCGAAAGAGGGAUGGAUGUCUUAAAUAAAGAGCCCAGUGUUCAGAGUCAGCAUGAGAGCUUCAUAUUUAAUGAACCGCAGUGAAAUGUUGAGUUGUUGUAAAUCACCAGCUUCAUUUCAUUGAGGAAAGUGAAGCCAGCAUAGUCCCACUCUCUGAUGGGGAGUUUAACCUGAUGGAUACCACAUCUCAGCUGAAGGAUGAGGUCUUCAUGGUAUCCUCACCACCAGCAGGAACUGACCAUGUGCUGUUGGGUAUCCAUUUACAUUCCAAACCAGCUGUCCAGCCAACUGAGCUGACCAACCCCACUGAGCUGACUGCCUUUUGAUAUAACAUCGGAUUUAACAUGUGCUUUUCGGAAACUUGUUUGCGGUUUAUAUCAUCUGUCACCGCGCAUGCAGUUUCUCCAAAACGACGACCAUUUAUUUAACUGCACUGGCUAUUUCAGACACCAUCUGCCUAAUCUGGGCUGCCAUCUUGAAUCUAGCAAAGCUGUGGCUGGGCCCGAAUGCCAGCUGGGUCUACACCCCUUGGUGGUGCCUAUCCAUCAUUUUGGAAUACGGCGCCAUUCUUUGCUCGGUCUGGAUUAUUAUGGCCUUCACUAUCGAAAGGUACAUCGUUAUAUCCAACAAGGGGCUGAAGCACCACACAACUAAGCCAAAGAAUGCCAUUUGCGCUGUUGUGGCAGCCGUGGGCCUUUCUUACACAUCAGCAUUCAUUGCUUUUCUUUUGAAUAAAUUUUCCAGAAGGUCGGUGAUGGUAAGCAGAUCCGUUUUAAUGAAUUACACUGGAGAAUGUGCCAUGUUCAACAACACAUACUUUCCCACAGCUAUUUGGCUGCACACAAUUAUAUCAGGUGGUGUUCCUUAUCUAUUGAUCCUCGUCUUCAGUGUGCUGAUAGCCUGCCGGUUACACACAAAAACCAAGAUUCAUCCGGAAUUUGAGAACACUGCAUUCAGAAUCACCAGAAUAAAAAUCAAGAAGUCACUUCAGAUAUUGCUCGUUGUUUCAUUCACUGCUGUUGCUCUCGGUCUGCCCCGGUUCGUUUCAGAGUGUUUACCACAUUCCUUGGGUGGUGUGAAUUAUUUUGAUUACAGCACAAUUACAAAUGUGGUACCAGACAUCUUGUUUAUGCUCCAAUGGUUUAAUUCUGCCAUAAACUUCUGGCUCUUUAGUUCUGCAUCGUCUGCCUUUCGGCAGGAGUGUGUGGCUAUUCUCACCAGACAUAUCUGUAGGAAACAAGAUUCAAUGGCUGUGGGUACAGUACCUAUUGACACCUUAAAGACAGUGUUCAGAAGUAAUUACUGCUGUGCAGAAUGAACAUGUUACCAGGAGCUUAAACUAAUCAACAGAGGAGCUCGAGACCCAAGUUUUCUGAGUUACCGAACAGUUGGAACUCGAUUUGCAAUGUGUAUAACUGGCAUUGAUUUGAAGCAAGGUACAGUCUUUUUAUCGUUGAUUCCAAUUUGUACCAUUUAUAUGAACUAUUCAAUGUAAAAGUUUGAAAAUGCAUUAAUUUCAGUUGGAGGGUUCCAGUGGUUAGCUCAAGGCCUUUCAUCUCUAGGAUCAAGAUACAGAACCAGCCCCUGUUUUCUUUCUCGAAUGACUGUAAUUCUGUCGAAAGAAACAUGAUUUGCCAGUUAGAGCCCAGUUCCUCUCAGCAAAAAACCUUUACCACAAAAAUAACCUCAAUUUCACAGAAUCUCAGAAUAGUUCUGGUGCAGAAAGAGGCCGUUCGGUCCAUUGUGCCCGCACCAGCUCGUUAAUUGAACCUCAUUACCUUGUGCCAAUCUCCUCAUCCCUGGCAUAUUAUUUCUAUCCAAAUAAUCAUCCAAUGCCCCUCUUGAGCGCCUCAACUGAACCUGCAUCCAUCACAUUUCCAGGCAGUGCAUUCCAGACCCUGACUGCUCGCUGUGUGAAAAACUCUUUCCUCUUCACCUUGGCUUUUAUUGCACAGUACUUUAUAUCUAUGUCCUCUUGUUACAAAGCAGGAGCAGCUUCUCCUUAUCUACUCUAUCCAGUCACAUGUGAUUUUGGAAACCACUAUCAAAUCUCCUCUCUGCCUUCCUUUCUGCAGGGAGAACAGUCUCAGCUUCUUCAAUCUAUCCCCAUCAAUGAAGAUUCUAAUUCCUGGACCCAUUCUUGCAAAUUGCUUCUGCACGCUCUCCAAUGCAUUCAGAUCCUUCCUAUAGUGUGGUAUCCAGUAUUUUUACAUAAUAUUCCAGCUGCGAUCCAAUUAAAAAUCUGGGGCUAAACAGACCACUUCAUUUAUACUGAUAUAGACAAUGGUAAAAUGUCACAAUGAAGAUUGAAGGGGUAGAAUUGAGAGUUGGAUUGAUGCAGAUUAUUUGGGAUACGGGAAGUUUGGCUUUGUCCCUAACAUGACCAGGGAUGCCUGUUGUUGAUACUAAUACCUGCUGUACUCUCCAGCACCAUCUACUCUCCACCUUGAAUUGUACAAAUCAUUCAUUAAAAACUGCAGUUGAAGCUCUCUUCUAGCACAUUACUGGAAUCAGGGGUAUGCGUUUGAAAGGUUUUGGCGUGGAUGGUUGCCACAGACCAAAGCUUGGCUUUGCUGAAGGCUUGCUCAAUGAACCUGACUUCCAAUGUGUGUGAUAAACACAAAACCAUCGAGAUGGUAGGCGCUGUGGAAACAUCGGUCAGCGAGUGGCCAUUAGGAAGAUCCUGAACGCCUCUCUGGUGCUGACCAACACAACAAUGAGCCGACACAAACUCAAAAUCACUUUAAAUACAACAGCUUCAUUAUUGUCAAUGACAUUCUGAAACAUCCAGACUCCCAGAAUUCCAUUUAGGAAAAGAAAACAAAUGAAAGGCAUACUGGCAUUGGAGGCAGUCCAAUGAAGGUUCACUCAUCUAAUCCUGGGUUUGGAGGGACUGUCUUAUAUGAAGAGAUUGAGUAGGUUGUGCCUGUAAUUAUUGGAGUUUAGAAAAGUGAGCAGCGACCUUGUUGAAACAUCCAAGAUUCUUAGGAAACUUGACAAGGUAGAUGCAGAGAGAUUGUUUCCCCAUGUAGGAGAGUCUAGGACCACAGGACAUCACCUCAGAAUAAGAGACCAUCCAUUUAAGGCAGCGAUGAGGAUUUUUUAUCUCUCUCAGAGGGUAGUGGAUUCUUUGUUAGGGAUGGGCCAUUAAGUACAUUUAAGGCAGAGAGAGACAGAUUUUUAAUCAGUAAGGGAAUCAAGGAUUGGGGAAAAGACAGGAAAAUGAAGUUAGGGAUUACCAGAUCAGCCAUGAUCUUACUGGAUGACACAGCGGACCUGAUGGGCUCAAUGGCCUACUUUUGCUUCUAGAUCUUAGAGUUUGAUGGGGAAUAUUCAUUCUGAGGUAAACAUCUACUUCCAUAAUUUUGUAGCAAGGGUUGUAUAUUCAGUUGAAAUGCAGCACAAAGUGUACAUCAGCAUCAUUGAUGCAAAAUACCUGCCUGGCGGUGAUGGGAAGGUUUCUGUCUGUUUUGACCCUGAGAGUAAUGCAAACGGCAGUAUAACUUCUGACAAGGGCUGCCCAGUCCAGAUAAGUUGAAAGUAAUAGCCAGUUAAGCAACCCACUCAUAUGGAAAUAAUCCAGAGACAAGACGUAUCUGUCACAGACUUAUAAAUAUAAAUUUCAGUCAAGGCAAAUCAUGAUCUGUUUAAUGUAAAGAAAGCAGCAAAAGUGUGGGUUAAUUGCUUCAUGCACCAUCGAACACAGGAGAAUGGAACUGACAACUUGCAUAAUACAAGUGAGAGACAGCAUCGAUGGUGUAUAAGUUAUGAAAACAAUAUGUUUUAUUUGUGGCAUUUGUUAUGUUAUAGAUAUUAGGUAGUCACCAACUGUAGUAGAAUCUGUUCAUCUGAAUAAAACAGCACAUUGUUUUGUUUUUCAGUCCUUGGCUCAGUGUUAAAAAUCUGUUGAUCAUUGCCUGUGAGCUUAUUGAAUAAUAAGUGAAUUUAUUUAUCACUAAAAACGUGUUUCAAUGUUGACAAGACAAAAUAAAGCUUGGUGUUUA